GCCAGGCACCGUGGCACACGCCUGUCAUCCCAGCUGCUUGGGAGGCUGAGGCAGGAGGAUCGCCAGGUGGAGGCCAGCCUCAGCAACUGAGCCACUCAGCGAGACCCUGUCUCUA
rnacentral:sRNA from 1 species